CACAAGCCGGAAGUGCAGGGAAAGGAGGCGUGUCAAACUUAAUUGUUUACGAGUGGUCUUCUGACUGGGCACACCAAAUAGCGGAGUGGUUUGAGUUAUUUUCAGCAGAUUUAGGACGGCUUCAGUGAUUUGUAAUGCUCGGAGAGGAGAGAUCUACUCUGUCUGAGCUAGCGAAGAUGACGGCCGCAAGUCAAGCCGAGAGGACUGUGCUGGAGGAGGAAUUUAAUUGGCUGCUCAAAGAAGAGGUGCAUGCGGUGCUUAAACAGCUGCAAGACAUUUUGAAGGAGGCGUCCAGGCGUUUUUCAGUGCCGUCACCAGGACAGGAAGGACAGCUGAAACAAGAGAACUUUAUUCUGGGCAGCUCAACGAUGGACCAGGUGAAAGGGGUUUUGACGCUACAAGGAGAAGCUCUAACUCAGGCUGAUAUUAACAUUAAAGCUGCUAAAAGCAGUCAAGUAAUGCACUUUGCAUUCCGAGAUGAUAAACAGUGGAAAUUGCAGCAGAUUCAGGAUGCCCGAAACCAUGUGAACCAGGCCCUGCAAUUACUAAGCAGCCAUGAUGAGAGUUAUCAUUUCAAAACUGGGGCUGAAGUCAAUAAGCUUAUGGAUGCAGUAAUGCUUCAGUUGACCCGAGCCCGAAGCAGACUCACAACCCCUGCCAGCAUGACUCUUCCUGAGCUCGCAGCCAGUGGCCUAAUGAAAAUGUUCACACCUCCAAUGCCUGGUGACAUGAUAGUGAACUUCUAUAUCAAUCUCAGUAAAGUGUGUUUGACGGUGUAUCAACUACAUGUCCUGCAGCCUAACACUACCAAGAACUUCAAAUCAGCAGGAAGUUCAGUGCUGCAUAAUCCAGGAGCAAUGUUUGAAUACAACAACACAAAGUUUGAGGUGAGCCAGGUCCAUAAGGUGGAGUGCGUGGUGCCGUGGCUGAAUGACACGCUGGUGUUUUUCACCAUUUCCCUGCAGCUCUGUCAGCAGCUCAAAGAUAAGAUUUCGGUCUUCUCUAGUUUCUGGAACUACAGAGCAUUUUAAGCUAUUUCUGACCAAAACUCUACAGUGAAUAAUAAUACAAAUGAUCAAAUGAAUUAUGCUCUAGGAUGCACUAGGAACAAAAAAAGUUCCGUGAAAUAAUCUGUCGUGAUUUGACUGUAUGACCAUGUAUUAAUUUUGUGUGCUUAUUGUUCAGCAGCAGAGUGCGCUGUGUAUGUAGUAUAUGCACUGAAUUCGUUCAUUUGAAAUGACAGACUCUUCAGAUGAAGGUAUUCAGUGGCAUAUUUUUUUGUGUUUCUGCAGUAUUUGUCAUUAUCAGUGUUGACUGUUUGUCAGUAAUCUUGCCUAUAUUGAAGUUAACCUCAUCUAAUAUGCGUCUAGGCUUUAGGAAGGAAAUGCUACUAAAUACACAUUGCUUACGUUCAUAUUUGUCACAAAAACCGUGAAAUACUCCAAAUGAUUUGUUGAGUGACCUCUUCAGACUCCUUUUACCAGUGUUUUUACCUUUUAGUCCAGGGGGUUGUAACAUUUAACACUUGAUCAUUAUCUGAUGCCAGGGACUAUCAUCGGUGCACAACAGUAAAUGCAUCGAGACCAUUAGCAUAUGCUUAUGAAUGUGCAUUAAUGACCAACAGCGUAUUUGCCAUCCUGACUCAGCUGUGGUAUGACUAUAUUAACACUAAAUGACAGAUAACAGUGAACAUGUCAGGGAUUCAUAUUCCAUUACAGUUAUACACAUUCCUGUGAAUGACUGCUUAGGGAGCAGAGUUCAGAGUUUCUAACAAGCAUCAUUCCAUCAUGAAAAGGAAAGGAAAGGAUGUUGAGCGAUAGUUCAGAUGCCGUUCAGGGUUUCAGAUCAUUACCGUUAGUUAACUUUGUCAGCUUUUAUUGCUAAUUUUUAUUUAUUUCAUGUUCACUUGGUUUGUGUCCUCAUUGAUUUCUUGCAUGUUAAUUUGAAUAUCGAUUCAUGUUUUAAGUUGUUUAACUAUUUUCAUGUAUAUUUCAAGCUUAAUAUGGAAUAUUUUGUGCAAUAAACAUACUAUGAACAUUAUGAAAUUUA